rnacentral:rRNA from 1 species
GACGAACGCUGGCGGCGUGCUUAACACAUGCAAGUCGAACGGAAAGGCCCUGCUUUUGUGGGGUGCUCGUGUGGCGAACGGGUGAGUAACACGCGAGUAACCUGCACUUGACUGUGGGAUAACAUCAGGAAACUGGGGCUAAUACCGGAUAGGAGCUCCUGCUGCAUGGUGGUGGUUGGAAAGUUACGGCGGUUGGGGAUGGACUCGCGGCUUAUCAGCUUGUUGGUGGGGUAGUGGCUUACCAAGGCUUUGACGGGUAGCCGGCCUGAGAGGGUGACCGGCCACAUUGGGACUGAGAUACGGACCAGACUCCUACGGGAGGCAGCAGUGGGGAAUAUUGCACAAUAGGCGGAAGCCUGAUGCAGAAACGCCGCGUGCGGGAUAACGGCCUUCGGGUUGUAAACCGAUUUCGACUGUGACGAAGCGUGAGUGACGGUAAUGGGUAAAGAAGCACCGGCUAACUACGUG